AGCAGUAGCCGCGGGAAUACGGAGGGUGCAAGCGUUAUCCGGAUUUAUUGGGUUUAAAGGGUCCGUAGGCGGAUCUGUAAGUCAGUGGUGAAAUCUCACAGCUUAACUGUGAAACUGCCAUUGAUACUGCAGGUCUUGAGUAAAUUUGAAGUGGCUGGAAUAAGUAGUGUAGCGGUGAAAUGCAUAGAUAUUACUUAGAACACCAAUUGCGAAGGCAGGUCACUAAGAUUUAACUGACGCUGAUGGACGAAAGCGUGGGGAGCGAACAGGAUUAGAUACCCGGGUAGUCCCUGUCUCUUAUAC
rnacentral:rRNA from 1 species